GUCUGAGAUGAAGCACUGUAGCUC
rnacentral:miRNA from 1 species